UACGUAGGGUGCAAGCGUUAAUCGGAAUUACUGGGCGUAAAGCGUGCGCAGGCGGUGAUGUAAGACAGAUGUGAAAUCCCCGGGCUCAACCUGGGAACUGCAUUUGUGACUGCAUCGCUGGAGUGCGGCAGAGGGGGAUGGAAUUCCGCGUGUAGCAGUGAAAUGCGUAGAGAUGCGGAGGAACACCGAUGGCGAAGGCAGCCCCCCUGGGCUAGCACGUGACGCUCAGGCACGAAAGCGUGGGGAGCAAACAGG
rnacentral:rRNA from 1 species